UGGGGAAUAUUGGACAAUGGGCGCAAGCCUGAUCCAGCCAUGCCGCGUGAGUGAUGAAGGCCCUAGGGUUGUAAAGCUCUUUCGGCGGGGACGAUAAUGACGGUACCCGCAGAAGAAGCCCCGGCAAACUUCGUGCCAGCAGCCGCGGUAAUACGAAGGGGGCUAGCGUUGUUCGGAAUCACUGGGCGUAAAGCGCACGCAGGCGGAUCGUUUAGUCGGGGGUGAAAUCCCGAGGCUCAACCUCGGAACUGCCUCCGAUACUGACGAUCUGGAGUCCGGGAGAGGUGAGUGGAACUCCGAGUGUAGAGGUGAAAUUCGUAGAUAUUCGGAAGAACACCAGUGGCGAAGGCGGCUCACUGGCCCGGUACUGACGCUGAGGUGCGAAAGCGUGGGGAGCAAACAGGAUUAGAUACCCCCGUAGUCC
rnacentral:rRNA from 1 species